UACGUAGGUGGCAAGCGUUGUCCGGAAUUAUUGGACGUAAAGCGCGCGCAGGCGGUCCUUUAAGUCUGAUGUGAAAGCCAACGGCUCAACCGUGGAGGGUCAUUGGAAACUGGGGGACUUGAGUACAGAAGAGAAGAGUGGAAUUCCACGUGUAGCGGUGAAAUGCGUAGAGAUGUGGAGGAACACCAGUGGCGAAGGCGACUCUUUGGUCUGUAACUGACGCUGAGGCGCGAAAGCGUGGGGAGCAAACAGG
rnacentral:rRNA from 1 species